rnacentral:rRNA from 1 species
UACAGAGGUGCCGAGCGUUAGGCGGAAUCACUGGGCUUAAAGCGCGUGUAGGCGGGUCGUUAAGUGUCCGCGUGAAAUCCCACGGCUCAACCGUGGAACUGCCGGGCAUACUGGCGACCUUGAGGCACUUAGGGGCGAGCGGAACAAAUGGUGGAGCGGUGAAAUGCGUAGAUAUCUGGAGGAACACCGGUGGCGAAGGCGGCAUCCUGGACCGGCAUUGACGCUGAGGAGCGAAAGCCAGGGGAGCAAACGGG